rnacentral:rRNA from 1 species
UACAGAGGUCUCAAGCGUUGUUCGGAAUUACUGGGCGUAAAGGGAAUGUAGGUGGUGACGUAAGUCAGAUGUGAAAGCCCUGGGCUUAACCCGGGAAGUGCAUUUGAUACUGCGCCGCUAGAGUGCGAGAGAGGAAAGUGGAAUUCCCAGUGUAGGGGUGAAAUCCGUAGAUAUUGGGAGGAAUACCGAUGGCGAAGGCAGCUUUCUGGCUCGUAACUGACACUGAGAUUCGAAAGCGUGGGUAGCAAACAGG